GACCUCCCAAUGCUUACCACAGGCUGUGUUCUUUACACUGACUGUAUAGAAAGAGGAGGUACAGUAAAAGCUCCCCAUAUACACCUCAACCUGGUCCUUUGCCUAUCUAUAUUGUGAAUGGGGGGACAAAA